ensembl:lncRNA novel transcript
ACUUCCGCUCACUCCAUCUUGAUGAGAGUUGGUGUUUGUGGGUUAUUUGUGAAGCCGGAAAGAAGCCGUGUCCUGGAGAAUGUAGCUGAAGGCCUGGCCACUUUCGACAAGAACGGGAAAGAGACGACUAACUUGUACUAAUAUCUUAGUGCUUGGCAGGGCAUUUUUUCAUUCCAGGAAAGAAGAGAAUCCAGCUGAGAUCAAGGGAGGGACGUCCGACGGAGGCGCCAUCUUUAACAAGGGCUAUUUGGGAGGCCAUCUUGGCGCAGGGCGUCUUUUUGAAAGGUUACCUGCUAGAGAUUACGACCUAUCGGGGCAUGCAUAGAAUUGGAUAUGUUCCUUGUUAUUCGCGUCAGCAGUCACUCAUCCAAAGACCCCAAAGCUUCUAGUGUUCUAAAGGCUCACACCUUCUGUGACAGGAAUCUUGAUUCCCAUUCUUCUCAAUCAAGACCUACCCUGAAUGGAUUUGGAGUAGUGUGGUAUAAUGGGAAAAAUUCAAGCUUGGGGGCCAGGCAGAUCCAGGUUUCAAACCCAUCUCUGCCACUUCUUACCUCUGAGACCUUUGGCAAACAUUUUGACUUAAUUGAGCCUUAGUUUCCUCAUCUAUAAACUGGAGAUACUAGCACCAACCUUCCAGAAUUGUGUGGAUUAAAUAAAAUCAAGGACAUAGAUUUUGUGAGCACAGGAUACUUAGUCCAGUUCCUGGCACAUAAUGAACGCAUUAUGUAAAUAUAAGUUUCUCUUCCUUAUUUCCUGACCACCAUGAACCUAGCUCUAGUUUCUGGCCACUAGUCUCCAUGACAACAACUGAGGAAGAGCACCCAAACAA